CUGAGAGUGUUUAUAGUGCUGUGAGUUUAACACUUCAUGACUGAGAGCAGAACAGACACAAUCUUCAUCAUCACACAAGACAAAAGAACAACAAUGAACACAAUCACCUUCUUCAUCUGGACUCUGACUCUGUUUGCUCAAGAGUGUAGAGGACAGUACACUGUAACUCAGAGUCCAGCAAUACUAGCAGUUCAACCAGGACAAGAAGUCAGAAUAAACUGUAAAAUCAGCAGUGCAGUGUGUGGUAGUAGUUACCUACACUGGUACUUACAGAAACCUGCAGAAGCUCCUAAACUCCUUAUAUAUGAUGCAACAACCCGUAAUACUGGAACUCCAUCUAGAUUCAGUGGCAGUGGAUCCAGAACUGAUUUUACUCUGACCAUCAGUGGAGUCCAGACUGAAGAUACAGGAGAUUAUUACUGUCAGAGUUUACACUGUCCUGGUAGUAGUCGGGUGUUCACACAGUGAUAAAGAGUGGUACAAAAACCUUGUUCAGUCAGAUGUCACAGUGAUGCACUGAUACAGCUGAGAGAUACUGCAGCUGCUGAUGGAGGAUCACAAACAAUGGUGAAAAAAAGUACACUUUCAUAAUGUACUUUUUAGCUCUAUUUUCUCACAAUACUUUUGUACUUAAUAUACUAAAAAUUCUUCGGUAACACUUUAGAAUAAUGGUCAUUAGUUAACAUUAGUUAACUACAUUAGUUAACAUGAACU